rnacentral:lncRNA from 1 species
UAAAUCCUGCUGAGGUAUAUACAACUCUACAAGCUGGUUCUCAAAUCCUUUUUUUGGAACGAGACUGAAGGAUUUCUGCAUAAAUAAUCAUAGUGGAAUUUUCAAGAUAUUUCAACGGUCUGUGGUGGCCAAAUAUGUGGAAUUGAGGCUGUUCCAGUAAAUCUGGAAUGAAUUGACACUCUAUCCACAGAGUAUGAAACUGUGUGUAGAGUAUGCAUGUGCGCGCGCGUGCACACACACACACAUACACACACACACACACACACAGGAAGAAUUCUUUUCUUGUCCAGACACUGGCAUUGGCAGUGAAACCAUCCAUUCCAAACCAAAGGAGCCCCCUCACCAAUGGCCUUGCCGCCCAGGAACCCUGCAGGGCAGAAGUUGGGGAGGGGAUAGCAGUCUGAAUAGCGGUCUUGGAUGGCUGGAAGCUGGCACCUGUGAACAAGCACCCAUGAUGGUGAUGCAUCCGGAACCAGGCUGCCCAGCCAACCAGUGCUUUCCCACCGGAGCUUUUGCUCUGGGCUCCUCUGCCGUUGAUUUCCCAGGUCCCGCCUUGCAUUUUCUCCCUCAUCUUCACAUGUGGGGAGCCCCUGACCGGCUGCUGAAGACCCCCAGACAAGCCUUCAGCUUCCAGAUCAUGGAAGGCAGCAUGGGGAGGCAGGAGACCCCUGGGAGGGCGGAGCAUGACUUUUGUCCAGGAGGCUGGACUACCGACUUCAGCAGGCUCUGGUUGGCUCUGGAGGACAUCCCUCAAGAAGUGCUGGCAGAUGUUAGAUUCCCGCCACCUGGAGGCCUGACCUCACCUGAGGGCAUCCCUGCCUGUCCAUGUCUUUUGACUGGGUGGGCAGCCCUGCCUACCUCUCUGCAGCUUCAAACACCAGCCGCUUCCACUCAGAGACACUCAAAAUGUGUCGAGGGAGGUUGUCCUCUGGACUCCUGGGAAUUGACCACCAGCAUGCGCUGCUCCGCUGACAAGGGAAAGGGCCCUCUGGCCCGCACAGCAUGGAUAUGGGCAGAACGGUUUUUCCUAACUAGGCCUUCUGGGUUGCAGCAGAACAGCAUGUGUCUGCUUCUCAAAUGUAACAGGACAAGAUGUUCAGGUCUUGUGUCCUCUGUGAAGCAGGGCUGCAAGGACCCCUUACCAAGGAGAAGAUUGUCUCUGGAAACUGCGAAAUCUGACCAGAAGGCCCUUAGCCUCCCAGGCUCUGUAGCUUCUGCAGUGAUGAGGCCUGGCCACCAGAUGGCUCCACAGAGGCCACUGCUCUCUCAGGGAAGAGGAGGCUGGGAAGAUCCAGGGGAGGACAUGGAAUUGGAUUCUCACCUGGGGAAGCUGUGGAGCCUGUGUGGUAUGGAUGCUUUUCUCCGCCGUGUCACCUGGGAUAACCAUUUACCCUC